UUGGACAUGGGUGAGAGCCUGAUCCAGCCAUCCCGCGUGAAGGACGACGGCCCUAUGGGUUGUAAACUUCUUUUGUAUAGGGAUAAACCUACUCUCGUGAGAGUAGCUGAAGGUACUAUACGAAUAAGCACCGGCUAACUCCGUG
rnacentral:rRNA from 1 species